UGCUGCACAGCUCAGUGGUUAGAGCACUGGUUUCGCCAGUAGGGGUUGUGAGUUCAUGUCUCACUGGGGCCU